rnacentral:rRNA from 1 species
CACCAGACUCCUACGGGAGGCAGCAGUGAGGGAUAUUGGGCAAUGGGGGAAACCCUGACCCAGCGACGCCGCGUGAGGGAAGACGGUCUUCGGAUUGUAAACCUCUGUCUUUGGGGACGAAAAAGGACGGUACCCAAGGAGGAAGCUCCGGCUAACUACGUGCCAGCAGCCGCGGUAAUACGUAGGGAGCAAGCGUUGUCCGGAAUUACUGGGUGUAAAGGGAGCGUAGGCGGGGAUGCAAGUUGGGUGUCAAAACUAUCGGCUCAACCGAUAGUCGCACUCAAAACUGCAGCUCUUGAGUGAAGUAGAGGCAGGCGGAAUUCCUAGUGUAGCGGUGAAAUGCGUAGAUAUUAGGAGGAACACCAGUGGCGAAGGCGGCCUGCUGGGCUUUUACUGACGCUGAGGCUCGAAAGUGUGGGGAGCAAACAGGAUUAGAUACCCUUGUA